UACGUAGGGGGCAAGCGUUGUCCGGAAUUAUUGGGCGUAAAGCGCGUGUAGGCGGCUUGGCAAGUCGGGUGUGAAAUCCCUCAGCUUAACUGAGGAAGUGCGCCCGAAACUGCUUUGCUUGAGUGCCGGAGAGGAUGGCGGAAUUCCCCAAGUAGAGGUGAAAUUCGUGGAUAUGGGGAGGAACACCGGUGGCGAAGGCGGCCAUCUGGACGGUAACUGACGCUGAGACGCGAAAGCGUGGGUAGCAAACAGG
rnacentral:rRNA from 1 species